UUGCUCUUGUUUUGCUAUGCUGAGUGACAAUUGUCAGUGCAUCUUACUUGAAUGAGGUGUGUUCUGGGGACAUGGGAGAGAGUGCUGCUUUGCAUACUGUAAGUCAAGGUUGACCCUUCUCCUGUGACUGUUAAGUAAACCCCCAAGCCCAGUUGCUGCAUACUGGGAUCUGCAUCCCAAACCCCUACAGAGGCCUCACAGAACAGGUAAAGUAUGACCUCCUUCUAAGGUCAAGGAGUUAAUGAUCUCUUUGGAGUCUUCCAGCACAAUAGGUAACAUCUAAGGAGUGACUGGUUAGUGUGAUCAUGAACCUGUUUUCCAAGACCACUGACUCAUCAAGACCUGGCUCCAGGGCAUAAAUGUCCUAUGAAGAACAUUUAAACACUCUCUUUUUCCUGGAUGACUGAGAAGAUAUGUGCACCAGGCCACAAUCUUCAGUAAAAACCCAGACCCCAAGUACGAAUGAAACUCACUCACCUUUCCAGAAAAUCUCUAGGACACUCUGUAUCUGCACUCACUCCAUGUCCUCAAUAAACUCUACUUUCACUUC